CCCUUAGAUGUCCUGGGCCGCACGCGCGCUACACUGAUGCAUUCAACGAGUUCCUACCUUGGCCGAGAGGCCUGGGCAAUCUUUUGAACUUGCAUCGUGAUAGGGAUAGAUUAUUGCAAUUAUUAAUCUUGAACGAGGAAUUCCUAGUAAACGCAGAUCAUCAAUCUGCAUUGAUUACGUCCCUGCCCUUUGUACACACCGCCCGUCGCACCUACCGAUUGAAUGGUCCGGUGAAGCCUCGGGAUUGUGGUUAGUUUCCUUCAUUGGAAGUUAGCCGCGAGAACUUGUCUAAACCUUAUCAUUUAGAGGAAGGUGAAGUCGUAACA
rnacentral:rRNA from 1 species